AACCAAAUUUUUUAUGCAGUUGAUCUUUUGCUUCCUACGUAUUCAUAUGAAUCACAGGCUGUUUGGAUUCGAGUCCCACAAUCUAUAAAAGCAGCUGUGGAGAUUAAAAACUUGUCCUUCCGUGCAGGCUUACAUGCUGCGGAUCAUGCUCUUCUUAAUGUGAUACCUCUAUAUAUAAUUUGCAACUCAUCAGAUUUGGCUUCAGAGUGUGUAAACCCUCAUGAUAGUCGCCAUGUUCCUGAAAGAAUUCUGUUAUAUGAUCAGCAUCCUGGAGGGACUGGCAUUUCGGCACAAGUGAGUUGCCGUUGAUUUUUUUGGUUUUCUUAUUUAUUUGUUUAUAUGAAUUGAAAUUGAAAGAACCACUUAUUUUAAUGAGUAAAGAUUUGUUUGUCAAGUAAGUUUUUGGUUUUGGACUGC